CCACCUCUCCUGCUGUUCUCUCUGUGAUCUCCUCUGUUGGAUCAGUCUGUGUUGUGGUUCUACUGGUGUUACUGGUUCUGCUGGUGAGACGAUGUGUUCACAGGAAACCUGAAGACACUGAUUCAGCUGCAGUGAGAACUGAAGACGUCAGUUAUGAACAUACAGCGAUGAGAUCGAGGAGGCCCAGACUUUAAACCAGAGCCAGACGUCGUCUACUCUUCACUGAAGUAUCCACCAGUCCAACCACUGACGUCCAGCUGCUGCUCUCUGACUGCUCCCAGCACCUCACACCACAGACCAUCCAUGUGUUAAAAUAUUUUUCUAUGCUUUUUUUAAUGCUUUUUACCCUCUUAUAACCUCAAGAAAAAAAAUAGUGUAUU